GUGAGUGACAUUAGUAGUAGGGUGAUGGUUGGACCAGAUGUUCUUGGAGGUCUCUUCCAACCCUAAUGAUCCUAGGAUUCUACAUCCAGGGUUGCCCUGUUUCAAGAACCGUGCAGGUCGUUUGCCUAUUGUGGGGCAAAUGACACCCAAGGGCCACUCGUGGCUGCACAGCCCCAUGUCUUAGCCUGAGAUGUAAAAAUAAAAUGUUUCUGUGCAUAAAUGAUUGUGCCCGUGUCUAUGUGGGUACGUGCACCCAGGCAUGGACCUGUUACGGGCUGCCCCCGGUUGGAAGCACAGUUCCGCAAAAUGGCGCCACCCCAGCGCCCUGAGGUGCUUCAGGGCAGCCCAGAUGCUGCACCUGAGGGUGACAGGGAGGUGGCCCCUGCACUCGGUGCCCUGGCCAUGGUGGGCUUGUCCCACCCCUUGUAAAAUCACCUACCAGUGAACAGAGAGAGAGAACAAACUUGCCCCAGGGAAAGGGCAUGGAGAGCAGUGCCUCAGCUGGGCUCAGCACCCAAAAUCAGCAGGUGUUAAAAUGAAAGGCUCAUUUUCAGGGCAGGGGCUAAAUCCCCUCAGUCCGCCUGUACCAUGUUUGGGUAAUUCCUACUGUCCUUAACCCUCUUUCACUUCUGGGAGCUUCUGCUACCUCCUGCCAGUGCCUUUGCCCCCUAACCAGGACAACAAGAAGAGGGCGAGAUGGGAUGCAUGGAGAGGCAGUGCAGGAGGUAAAAUAAAGGAUCUUGAGUUUUACUCAUCACCUCAGCGUUAUAUUUAGGGGCGAGAGGCACCACAUUCACCUUCAUGCCAUGGGGUUAAUUGCCUCUGUUGUAGGGUUUGGCGCUUGAGCCAUGCUGGCCAACAAGUGCCUUUUGUUUCUUUACUCGGUUAACACAGAUGGACUGGAGAGUCUUUGUGGUCUAGGCUGGGCCUUGCAGAGGCCACGACAUAGUGGAGACUAUCUCCAAAUAGCUUUGUUGCCAAAGACAUCUCUCCUAAAUGCAAGGUGUGAUUAAACCCAAUGGCUAAUUAGGCCACAUCGGUUGUUUCCAUCACUACAUUUGCACCGGAUUUGUGACUGAAGGAAUUACAAAAUUGCCCUGGCAGGUUCCUUGCUAAGCAGGGAAGACAUCUGUUUUAUUCAGGAAAGCAAAGCCUGGUCAUCUGAGCAAAGAAAGACACAGUCAAACCAAUCUUUCUAACCCUCAGGCUAAGGCCAGUGUUGGUAGAUCAAUUCGGUGAGGCUGAAGCAAGUCUAAGUGCUGCAGCUAGAUGGCAGGCUAGGAUGAGAAUAGAGAGCAGGGACACAGCAUAAAAGAAAAAAAAAAAAAGAAAUUAAGAUUCGUAUUUAUGAAUCACAACUGGUAUUUAUAGCAGCAUUAUAAAUAAAAUAAAAUAAAAAAAAAUCGAACCUUUGGGUGUUAAUAGAAAAUGUGUUUCUUAUUUUAGGUUGUGUUUGAAACUAGAACUGCUUGGGAAGUUGACCAAACAGCUUCUCAGUGAAACGAAAACAUCUCCUGAAAGUGGUACCCAGCUACAGCAAAAUGCUUAGUAAGAAAAGUUUGAUGGAAGAAAGGAAAAAAAAACAUUGAUCUGCUGUCCAGGCACCUCCCUGGUGUGAGAGAGGUCCGGGUUAAACUCUGUUUAGAUUAAGCAGGCAGAGCAAGAACCUACUGCCCAUAUGAAUGCUCAGACCACUGGGAUAUUUUCAGAUCUCUUCUUUAGCGCUAAUAAACUCCAAAGCUUUGAGGCUAGGAUUUCACCCAGAUGGGAUGCGGAAAAUAUUUGAACUAUCACAAAUAUUUACACGGAUGGGAAGCGUAGGGCUGUAAUUUUAACUGCAGUUCCCCGUUCACCUGCCUUAAAAGGUUCCUUUUACUUUGCUGUCAAGGAGAUGCUUCCUGCAUCUUUUCUUACAGCUGCAACGUCUCCGAGUAACUUGUUAAGCACCGACCUCAAAGCUGGGAACCUUGCAGCACUGCUGGGGUAUGGGCAGAUAUUAUUUCUUCGUUUUAUAUGUGAGAUUCCUGUGAAGACAAAGAUUUAGAAGCCCUAGAAGCCACGCAGCAGGUCAGUACAUGCACCAACCUCAGUGCAGUGGCAAUGUGAAGGAAGAUCAGCAUUGUCCAAAUACACACGCAACAGCCUUUCUAAGCCAAGUAUUACUGGAGAAAAAUAGACUCAUGACUUUGAGGAACAAUAAAAAUGGAAGAAGAUAUCUCAGAGACGAAUUUCGACACUUCCUUAGUGUCUCGGUUUCCUUUUCUGUGGAAGAAAAAUGGUAAUAUUUCCAGCAGCACUAAGUGUCCAGAUGUGAUAAAUAAAAACUAGCAAAAAGUGAGGUCCUCAAGCACUGCCAGGGCCUUCCCCACCAUCCUGUGGGAAUCUCCACUCACAGCCGGCAUGAGUGCAACCCUCCUCCGUCAUUACUUCUGCUCUCCAUGGGGAAGGAAACCAGCAUUUCCAUGGGCAGCACCUUUACAGGCAGCUUCUCAGCAGCAGAGCGCAGGAGCGAUGGGACAUCCAGAGAAAGCCGGAAGGGAGACGAGAAAAAAAAGCAGCUGGCGCAUGACGGGAAUCAUCCCGGGGUCAUUCAUCAAUCGAAUCCAAAGCAAACAGGGCACAUCUUCUGUUACUUACGCUUUCUGUUUCCCCAGGAUGCAACUGUUCACGAUCGGGGCUGCUGAGGGCUUGCGGUGGUGGCAGCGCAGAGGUAGGAACUUCAGCAGGUGGCAUCAGGAAAUGAGAUGCAUGCUUUCUUCUUUGUCGGGAGGUUGACAGCUGCUCACAGAGGCAGCCUAGCAGCUACCUAGCGCUGAGAUCAGGACUGAGGCAGCUGGGCGCGUGCCCUCAGAGGGAGCUUUUGGAUCCUAAGCAGAAAAGUUUUGGCACCUAAGUCCAAAAUCGUGUUCCUUGAAACUCCUGCAUAGGGGACAGCUGUCUCCUGAUCCUCCUGGAAUCCAAACUCUGUAGGAUUUAGCCUUAAACUCCCCUGGUGCCAUCCCUCUUAGCUCUCCUGCCCGUACCGCCCAGCCCUGGUGACUCAGCCUUGCGCUGCGUACGCCCGACUUCACUCAGCAGACGUUGAAAUAAAGAUCCAACUGUUCAUCUCCUUCACGUUUGGGAGCUCCUGGUGGUUACGUCCUCCUGGGAAGGCAGUGGCGUGGUGGCCACGGCAUGCUCCCGGGAUGCGAGACCCACUUUUGCUUUCCUUCCCUCGAGAGGAUUCAAAGCCACAUCCUAACCACGAGGCUCUUCUGGGGCAAAGAUGUUCCCACCCUUCCUGCUGCAGGUUUUCUCCUGAGCAGCACGCAGCCUGCGUGGGGGCAGUAGUUCCUAAAUUACUGAAUUCAGCCCAGGAGGGGCUGCGCUAAAAUCCCUCUGACGGAUAGCCCCAGUGGGGCUUGUUGGCCGAGCCGAACUCCGGCUCUCAAAAACCCGCCACGUGUCUGCUGUGUUACAGGAGGGGUUUCUGACCCGCUCCUUGCACAGGAAAGGAAGCUAAUUCCUCAGACUUGCUGUAGCUUUCUUGGCAUUCAUCUUACAGCCGCAGCUUGUGGAGCCCAGGGGUUACGCGGGGAUAAGAACGGUCGUUCACGAAAAUCGCGUACGAAUGGGUUGCUUGCCCUAAGGGUUAAGCAGAAAAACCUGAAGACAGAAAGCACCCAAUACCGAUUUGAAAUCGAAACCAGCUUGAACGCUGGAGCUGGAAACCGCUGGAGGCUUUGCAGCCUUCCCACAGCUGCCUGCGCCUUCUCCCUGAGCUCCUGAGAUAUUAAAGAAGAGAUGCUUGAUGCUUCUAGAGGGGGCUAAAAGUUCCUUGCUUUCAAAUCAAAUCCACAAUAUGCCUUAUAUGCAUGUGUGUUUAAAUAUAUAUCUAAAAUACGUAUUGUGUAAUAAAUGUAAGUUAAAUAUAAUUACAUAUUCAUGUGUUUAUAUAUAUGUGUGUAUGUUUUAAACGUACAGAUGUGUAUGAAUCCUCACGUAUCAUCUGAAACCUGUGAAUGGCUGGAAUGCUUUUGCUUCCCCGAGAGUGCUCCUAAGAGGAGGUUCUUUACAAGGACAGGUGAGCUCCGCCGUCUGUUUCUGUUGCGCGUGUCCUGUCCCCAGUCCAGGGUGAGGAAACAGUCCCCGGAGCGCGGCGUCACGACGGCUGAGCGCCUGUCCCGACCGUCACCGCUGCUGAGGCGUGCCGCAGCGGCCCAGCACCUUCCCUGCGCUGCUGGGGACCAGCCAGGAGCAUGGGCGAGACAAAAAGGAAACAUCAAUAGGUGAGGCUGUAACACUCAACGAUCGUUGGCGUAUUAUCCGAGAGCGGCGGGUUCAUCCACCCCCCCCCCCGCGCACCCAGAUGGGAGGAAAUCGCCGGUAAAACAAACGUCCAGCGUGAUCGAAUAACCUUGUAGCCGAAGUCGGUGUUUAUCCGAUGCGUUCCCUGCCAGCAAAGCAUUUACGCAGGUUGCGCAGGUCUGUGACUGCUCGUUCCUGGCUUUCGGUGCCAGAAAUGGGAUCAUCGGCCAAUCGCCUCGAUGAGAGAGGCAGUAAAUAAAGACCUCGUGGAAGCGCUCGAUCAGAAACACCGUUUGGGAUAAAUUAAAGCCCGGUCCUGCGUUUGCCUGUCUGGCUCGUAACCAAGAAAUACCGCUUUAAACGUUUUUUUUUUUUUUUGGUUCGUUAACCGAAAUCAGCAACAUCGCCCACGAUCUGUGCCCAAAGUUAAGGCACAAAUUAAAAUGUGGGGAUAUGUUUGAACCUAAGAUAGAAAAAAAAAAAAAACCCUCUAGACCAUCUCCAUUGACCCGUUCCAACCUCACCUUUUCUGGUGAUCUGUGAACCCUGUCCAACACUUCUAAAGCUAAACGAGCUUUGUGCUGUGAGGCAGCCUCAAACUCCAGCCGCUUGUUCCAUCUCCUAAGCAAAAACCUUCUCCGUUAUUCCUUCCUAGCUCCUUCCUGCAGCUGCCUCGUUCAAGAGCUCCUCUGGGUCUCUUCUUUGCCAGCCCUGCAGCCCUCUCCGUUCCGAAGCACGUGGAGAUCUGCUCAAGCCCCCGAGAAGCCAGCUUGGAUGAUGCCUGCGAACCUCUGCAGCGGUUUCAGCCGGCAGGCAGGUUUCUGCUCGUGGCAUUACAAACAGCCGCAGCCCUGAACGUCCGUUCCUUUCUUCCAAAACCCCACUGAUGCCUGGUGCAACCCCUCCAGCCUCUUCGCUUAUCACGUGGCUGGGUUUUUCUGCGUUCCUUCCUUCGCCUUCCUGUCGUCCGAGAUUCUCCCCGCGUUUCCGCCCUGCCGCUUGCAGCAUCUUCCUCUCCGCGACACGCAGGCGUUGGGAUGCGGGGAAGGGGCACCGGGAGGUGGCUGUAUGGGGUGAGAUGCGCCCAUACCCGAGACCAGGCAGCUCUGCUCUCGCUGCUUCCCUUCUUGUCUGUCCGGGCUCCGCUCGCAGCCCCGUGGACUGUUUCAGGCUCACACAGCCUCUCCCUGCUCUCUCCUACACCAAAAAGCCCUCCUCGCUUUGCCAAACACGUAAUCAACGGGUACAGAAAAGCCCUCGUGUUUUCCCAUGCCGUGACCUCAAUCCGUCUGCCCGUCCGUCCUUGGACUGGCGUGAAUCGCCUGCACCUCCCAGGCAGGAACACAAAUACGACGCACUAAGAAAUGCCCUGAGCUCUUCUUAAUUAAUUACAGAGCCACUGGCUCUUCCUAAUAAGACCCACAAGCUCAGCAAACGCAAUAAAAGUUAGGUAAUUAGGGGGUAAACGGCCAGAGGGUGAAACGAGCCCUGGGGGGGACCGGAGUGCUCGGGGACGUCUCCUUCUUUCCCAUGCUCCUACGGCACACGCUGGGAACGUGGGAAAAACGUCCUUAAUUUUCAUCGAGACGCCGAGGGGGGGGGGAGACCGGGAUCAGGGGUGGGCUAGCUGAUGGUUUCUCCCAGGAAAAUACGGAAGCUGACGAAAAAUGAAGCGAGUAAUCUUGUCGGCGUGAGAAAAGCUAACAGCCGAGGUGAGCAGGAGACUCGCUGCGUCUCCGAGGAUAGCUCGAGGCUUUCCCCUGGCUCGGGAAGAUCUCAGUGCUGCCGUCUGCUCAAACCUGGGAGGGCAAAAGCCUCAAGGAGCGAAUGCAAAGCAGGGCGUGGAGAGCUAAACGAUAACCUGACCUUGACGAUAGGCACCAGCGUCUUGUGCUGCUUCGUCUUGUGCUGCUUCGUCUUGUGCUGCUUACUUCUGUGCCCCAAAGUGUUUGUCACGCUUUC